UUUCGCCUACGGGACGCAGCAGUAGGGAAUCUUCGGCAAUGGGGGGAACCCUGACCGAGCAACGCCGCGUGAGUGAAGAAGGUUUUCGGAUCGUAAAGCUCUGUUGUAAGAGAAGAACGUUAGCGGGAGUGGAAAAUCCGCUAAGUGACGGUACCUUACCAGAAAGGGACGGCUAACUACGUGCCAGCAGCCGCGGUAAUACGUAGGUCCCGAGCGUUGUCCGGAUUUAUUGGGCGUAAAGCGAGCGCAGGCGGUUUGAUAAGUCAGAAGUAAAAGGCUUUGGCUCAAACAAAGUACGCUUUUAU
rnacentral:rRNA from 1 species